rnacentral:tRNA from 1 species
GCAAACUUAGCUCAGUCGGUAGAGCGCCUGACUGUUAAUCAGGACGUCACUGGUCUAAGUCCAGUAGUUUACG